rnacentral:rRNA from 1 species
AUUGAACGCUGGCGGCAGGCCUAACACAUGCAAGUCGAACGAGUGGCGGACGGGUGAGUAAUGUCUGGGAAACUGCCCGAUGGAGGGGGCUAACUACUGGAAACGGUAGCUAAUACCGCAUACCAUCGGAUGUGCCCAUAUGGGAUAAGCUAGUAGGUGGGGUAACGGCUCACCUAGGCGACGAUCCCGAGCUGGCCUGAGAGGAGGACCAGCCACACUGGAACGUAGUCACGGUCCGGUCUCCUACGGGAGGCAGGAGUUGGGAAUAAUGCGGAAUGGGCGCAAGCCUGAUGCAGCCGUGCCGCAGGUAUGAAGAAGGCCUUGGGGUUGUAAAGUACUUUCAGCGGUGAGGCGUUACUCGCAGAAGAAGCACCGAGUAACUCCGUGCCAGCAGCCGCGGUAAUUC